CGCAAAAAACAGCAUUUGGUUCGGAUUCGUUUGGGUCAUUUUUUAAUAAAACCGCACGGUUUGGUUUGGUUUGCGGUUUGUAUUUUGCAAACCUAACUAAACCAAACCAAACCGCAUUAUGUUACAACCCAAAUUUUACUUAUCCCACAUCCAACCAAAACAUCAAACCUAGUAUGCCUUAACCUUUACAAUUACAAACAACAUCAAACCUAGUAUACCUUAACCUUACAAUUACAAACGAUUUUCUCUUACUCACGCUU
rnacentral:lncRNA from 1 species